AGUGAACAAUUUAGGAAUAAGAACGAAUGAGCAUUUCUUUAGGGGCCCGAAUCGAAGAUUAAAAUCAAACCAAACACAGUUUGCGUACUUUGAAAGUGAGGAUUUCGUGAUGGCUCACCUUGACGGAAAUCAAUACAAUAGACAAAAUCAUCGUGGCAAUGAAAAGAACCUUCGUCAAGUUGUUCACUUCAAUAUCCAGCAAGCCAACCUUGAAAAAGAGCCAUGUUCAAAUCAUUACGACCAAAACUAGGGAUCAAAGGAUAGUGCAAAGUUUCAAACAAGCACUCCCUUAUGAUUUAAAUUAACCUUAUAUAUAUUUUUAAUGGGUAUAUUAAUUUAACGUCUCAUUAACUUCGAUUUCAGUUUGACUUCGUGUAUCAUGAGGAAGGCAUCCUUUGGCGUCAUGGCAAAUAAAAACGUAUUGAAUAAAACUAUUAUUUCUAACGCUGGCGCGAA